rnacentral:rRNA from 1 species
AACCCGACUCCAUGAAGCUGGAUUCGCUAGUAAUCGCGCAUCAGCCACGGCGCGGUGAAUACGUUCCCGGGUCUUGUACACACCGCCCGUCACACCAUGGGAGCCGGAAAUGCCCGAAGUCAGUGGCCCAACCGCAAGGAGGGAGCUGCCGAAGGUGGAGCUGGUGACUGGGGUGAAGUCGUAACAAGGUAUC